GUAAAUCAAGUUUCGCGGUGUUCGGAUUUACGGUCAAAUGUUUUGUUUAAAGACCAGCGCUCAUCAGUAAUGCCUUGUACAGUAACUAGAACGUAUAUCGGGUUUAUAAAUGGGAAGUCUAGGCAGAAUUAUAUUUGUCUCAGACAAAUAUAAAAAAAAUUGAAAAAACUUUUUCGCCCGAGACAGUUUUAUAGUUAAUGUUAAUCUAACGUAAUUUAGUUUGGUGAAAACAUUUCAACACUAUUUGUUUACUGUUGUUUACUAAACUAUACACUUAAGCUUCUCUAAGUAAAGCAAAACACAGUAUGCGACUGCUAUUACUAUAUCUAACACAUUCAAUUAUACAUCGAGAGUUUUGGAGGUAUUCCAGAGGUUCGAUUGCUUGUCCGUUUGCAGUAGCACCCCGUUGGCAUUUGUGUCUUCUUCCUAUUUGUAUUACACUUACUUUUUGUCAUUUCUACGACUUGGACUUUUCAAUACCGUUCUGCGAUUUCGACAGCUUCGAACAACUUAAGAACCGCGAACUAGAAGGAUGAGAUAUAGGAUAGGGGCGAUAAAUAGAAGAAACCGUGUAUAAUAUUUGAAAGCGUUCUUUACAGGAAGUAAAUUUCCGCGUUUUUGCAUUAUAAUAACACUUAGUUUGAUCGGCUGGUUUUAAAAGAUCCUUUACACACCUACUUGAAGUAUGCGCAUAUAAUCUAAGUUGACGGCAAAGUUACUUUUCGUGCGAUUUCGUGCGAAAGCGGUAACGGUUAAAGCAGCUCUAUGAUCGAUGAUUUAAUUAAAUACUUUGUUUCGGGACUGCACGGGGCCGGUGGAUAAAUGUUCUUUUUUUACCUCUCGCGGCGAAAUGAGGGGAAAUUACAAACUUGUGCGACCAUUCUGUGGAACCACCUGCUUAGAAAUAUGACUGAACAAUACUCCUGGUUUUUAAGGCAUUUGUCAAUAUUUCAGCCAUCAAUCCAGCCUUUGCGCUUGCCAUAUCAUCGUUCUCUAAGAAAACAUAUUGACGCAGCGCGGGUUAGGGGUGCGUUGUUCUAUUUGGUUAUCUCGUUGUUAAAGUGCUAGGUAGACUGCAAAGUAGUUUUCUUGUCAGUUGUUUUUCUUUCGUGUGACCGCGAGAAACACGGAGCAAGUCUACCGUGAAAUUGUAAUGACCUUAUUUCACACCUGCCCGUAACUUUUUGUGUACUAAUGGAUUAUUUAGAUAUUUGUGUUAUGGCCUGCUUAUUGUUUACGAAGCUUUAAGGUGGGAAAGGACAGAAACACAAAUGUUAUUAUACCAAACCUUUGCAUACUUUUCAAACGUAUACUGGACAUAGCUGUAAAUAGAAAGCUUGGCAACAGUUCAAAAAAGAAAGGAAAGGUCUUGUCGUAAUAAGGCAAAAAGACUGUGAUGAGACCAAUGCUUGACGAUCUAGCACAAGGAUGUUUAGAUACUGCUGGAUCUCGUAGAAUGAUAUUAGUUCAUCUCACCAUGUAUCUCGUAACAUACCACCUCGCAAAAAGGAGAAACAUAUAAAUAAAUGCGCUUUUAAGGGGGAGGGGUAGGUGACAAUUCCCUAUUGUCAAUAUAGGACUGCAUCGGGAAGAGAUCGUUAUUAUCACCACCCUACCACACCCAUGUGCUCUGUGAUACACAGGCCUAGCGGUCUGGCAAAGGACAAAUUAUUUGAAGAAAUCUCGAAAUAACAAUCUGAAAAUGUAUAACUGCGUUUACCAAACCUAUUCGAAAACAUCUACAUCUACAUAUGGGGGCCUCGCUGAUGGGGUUACCUGUUAGGCAAGACAAAAGCAAAAGCUUCUCCGAUGGAAAUGGAUACCUUCUCGGCUGAGAGGCUAUUAAGAGUACACGUAGUACACGUACAGCGUGAGUUUGUAUGUAACACCCCCCUUACACUUUUUGGGGUGCGCUGCGCCCCGUGGCAUGCGAUACUAAUCUAAAAGCUCUCACCUGGAGACCCAUGAAAGGCGGUAGAUUUCUUCGUUUUCUUUUACACGACCCUUCCUGCUGUUGUUGUUAUUGUCGCUCUUUUUGUAAUUAUAUCUACAUCACCUUAAUCUAUCUCGUAUAAUCACAGGUCUAAGACACUGACUCUAGUAAAAUGAUCACUCUUACAUGUGGGCAUCCAAGCCGAUCUACUGUACAAUCACACAGGCAGCUAUAGGUUUUCUAAUUUGCCAUAAAUUCCUGUUCUGUGUAUCUUUUUUUCGGAAAUUUUCAACUACGACCAUUUUUGAUUUAGUUAUAUAUAUUCUGACUAUUGAUAGCUAUUUCUAUUGGUCGUAGCACCAUUUGCUCGCCGUAAUCUUAUUAUCAAAGGAUCUUAUGUGUCAAUCUGAAAUCACACCCAGAAACUGAGAAAACGAUAAACUCCAACCCACUUCACCUCGGAAGCAGUUCAAGUUUCUACAAACUUGUAAAUAAAUGGAA